rnacentral:rRNA from 1 species
GACGAACGCUGGCGGCGUGCUUAACACAUGCAAGUCGAACGGAAAGGCCCUGCUUUUGUGGGGUGCUCGAGUGGCGAACGGGUGAGUAACACGUGAGUAACCUGCCCUUGACUUUGGGAUAACUUCAGGAAACUGGGGCUAAUACCGGAUAGGAGCUCCUGCUGCAUGGUGGGGGUUGGAAAGUUUUGGCGGUUGGGGAUGGACUCGCGGCUUAUCAGCUUGUUGGUGGGGUAGUGGCUUACCAAGGCUUUGACGGGUAGCCGGCCUGAGAGGGUGACCGGCCACAUUGGGACUGAGAUACGGCCCAGACUCCUACGGGAGGCAGCAGUGGGGAAUAUUGCACAAUGGGCGGAUGCCUGAUGCAGCAACGCCGCGUGCGGGAUGACGGCCUUCGGGUUGUAAACCGCUUUCGCCUGUGACGAAGCGUGAGUGACGGUAAUGGGUAAAGAAGCACCGGCUAACUACGUG